GUGGGGAAUAUUGCACAAUGGGGGAAACCCUGAUGCAGCGACGCCGCGUGAAGGAAGAAGGUCUUCGGAUUGUAAACUUCUUUGAUUGGGGACGAAAUAUGACGGUACCCAAGGAACAAGCCACGGCUAACUACGUGCCAGCAGCCGCGGUAAUACGUAGGUGGCAAGCGUUGUCCGGAAUUACUGGGUGUAAAGGGCGUGUAGGCGGGAGUGUAAGUCAGAUGUGAAAACCCGGAGCUCAACUUCGGGAUUGCAUCUGAAACUAUGCUUCUUGAGUGCUGGAGAGGAAAGCGGAAUUCCUAGUGUAGCGGUGAAAUGCGUAGAUAUUAGGAGGAACACCAGUGGCGAAGGCGGCUUUCUGGACAGUAACUGACGCUGAGGCGCGAAAGCGUGGGGAGCGAACAGGAUUAGAAACCCUAGUAGUCC
rnacentral:rRNA from 1 species